CAGCCGCGCGGGAAUACGGAGGGGGCUAGCGUUGUUCGGAAUUACUGGGCGUAAAGCGCACGUAGGCGGCUUUGCAAGUCAGAGGUGAAAGCCCGGGGCUCAACUCCGGAAUAGCCUUUGAGACUGCAUCGCUUGAACACGGGAGAGGUGAGUGGAAUUCCGAGUGUAGAGGUGAAAUUCGUAGAUAUUCGGAAGAACACCAGUGGCGAAGGCGGCUCACUGGACCGUUGUUGACGCUGAGGUGCGAAAGCGUGGGGAGCAAACAGGAUUAGAUACCCCUGUAGUCCCUGUCUCUUAUACA
rnacentral:rRNA from 1 species